UAAUUUAGAAAUUAAAAAUAUUUAAAAAAUGAAAGGAAAAAAAAAACCUGUUAUAAAAAUAACCUGGAAUAUGUACGAAUAUUGAGCUGCACGUAAAGUAGAUGAGACACAGCAUUUAACGAGGUUCGGCUAUGCCUACGUCCUCGGAGAGCAGCAGUAGUAACUUUUCACUAUAUAAAAUAAUAUGUCUACAACUUUAGUGUUUA
rnacentral:lncRNA from 1 species